rfam:Clostridium oryzae strain DSM 28571 CLORY_contig000029, whole genome shotgun sequence.
GAGAACUGAUAUUUCGAGAAGUCAAAUGAGAGAGUAACGUCUUGAAGGGCUUCCUUUGAUACUCCGACUAGCACUGACGCUAAUAAGAGUUUUGGUGUUAGAAGUUCGGUAAAGACGGCUGAGAGUGCAUCCUAACAGGCUAUGCUGAGGAAAAGCGAACCAGAGGUGGUCGAAUGUAUGAUAGGUCGGGAGUCCAUAAA